rnacentral:tRNA from 1 species
GUCAAUGUGGCAUAGUGGUUUGAGUGUUGGACUAUGACUCUGGAGACCAGGGUUCAAAUCCCCACUCAGCCA